rnacentral:rRNA from 1 species
GAUGAACGCUAGCUACAUGCUUAACACAUGCAAGUCGAGGGACCGGAGCACGGGAGAGUAACACGUACCCAACCUGCCCUUUACUCGGGGAUAGCCUUUCGAAAGAAAGAUUAAUACCCGAUAUAAAGGAUGGGGAUGCGUACCAUUAGGUUGUUGGUGAGGUAACGGCUCACCAAGCCUUCGAUGGAUAGGGGUUCUGAGAGGAAGGUCCCCCACAUUGGAACUGAGACACGUUCCAUACGCCUACGAGAGGCAGCAGUGAUGAAUAUUGGUAAAUGGGCGCUAGCCUGAACCAGCCAAGUAGCGUGAAGGAUGAAGGCUUAUGGGGCGUAGACUUUGUUUAUAUAAGAAUAUGUAUUAUAUGAAUAAGGAACGGCUAACUCCGUGCCAGCAGCCGCGGUAAUAC